rnacentral:lncRNA from 10 species
CUUAGCUCUCUUCUCUCUCUCUGUCCUGCUCUGCCAUGGUAGAUGUGCUUGCUUUCCCUUUGCCUUCUGCCAUGAUUGUAAGUUUCCUAAGGUUUUCCAGCCAUGCUUCCUGUACAGCCUGCAGAACUGCUCUUUCCUUUAUAAAAUACCCAGUCUCAGGCCUGUUAUUUGAUGAAGAUGAUAUAAAUAGAAGCAGAGCAGCACAUAGUGUGACCACGAAAGGCCAAAGAGCACAUACUGGAGACCUGAAUGUCAACCAAACUGCAUAAUCCCUGUUUAUCUUCAUUGUAGAAAUUGCCAUAACC